AACGAACGCUGGCGGCAGGCUUAACACAUGCAAGUCGAGCGCCCCGCAAGGGGAGCGGCAGACGGGUGAGUAACGCGUGGGAAUCUACCUAGUUCUACGGAACAACUCAGGGAAACUUGAGCUAAUACCGUAUACGCCCUUCGGGGGAAAGAUUUAUCGGAAUUAGAUGAGCCCGCGUUGGAUUAGCUAGUUGGUGAGGUAAUGGCUCACCAAGGCGACGAUCCAUAGCUGGUCUGAGAGGAUGAUCAGCCACACUGGGACUGAGACACGGCCCAGACUCCUACGGGAGGCAGCAGUGGGGAAUAUUGGACAAUGGGCGCAAGCCUGAUCCAGCCAUGCCGCGUGAGUGAUGACGGCCUUAGGGUUGUAAAGCUCUUUCAACGGUGAAGAUAAUGACGGUAACCGUAGAAGAAGCCCCGGCUAACUUCGUGCCAGCAGCCGCGGUAAAG
rnacentral:rRNA from 1 species